GGCAAAGAUCUUAUCUUUUGCCUUGUCUCUAAUGGACACUGGUCUCCUCCCAGCCUCGCCAAUCUCAGUAAAAUGGCACUGCCAUCCACAAACCUGGUUUUAUGCAGUCCUGAAUUCCAGGAACCCUUCAAUUAUUGCUAUAGAUGGACAGCUGGACAAGGCAGCAAACUGGGAACUCCAAUGAAGAUGUUCAACGAACUCCUCAGGAAACAA